UACGGGGGGAGCAAGCGUUGUUCGGAUUUACUGGGCGUAAAGGGCGCGUAGGCGGCCACCGCAAGUCAGUUGUGAAAUCUCUGGGCUUAACCCAGAACGGUCAGCUGAUACUGCGGGGCUAGAGUGCAGAAGGGGCAACUGGAAUUCUCGGUGUAGCGGUGAAAUGCGUAGAUAUCGAGAGGAACACCUGCGGCGAAGGCGGGUUGCUGGGCUGACACUGACGCUGAGGUGCGAAAGCGUGGGGAGCAAACAGG
rnacentral:rRNA from 1 species